rfam:Pseudomonas putida S11 PPS11_c17, whole genome shotgun sequence.
GGGUGCCAGCUGCACAGUGCAGUGGGGCAGGUUAAAGAACAGCGCAGGUCGGGCCGCCAUGCG